GGGGAAUUGUUCGCAAUGGGCGCAAGCCUGACGACGCAACGCCGCGUGGAGGAUGAAGAUUUUCGGAUCGUAAACUCCUGUCGAAUGGGACGAAUAGAUUGCGGGUUAACAGCCCGUGGUCCUGACGGUACCGUUAAAGGAAACCCCGGCUCACUCCGUGCCAGCAGCCGCGGUAAUACGGGGGGUGCGAGCGUUGUCCGGAAUCACUGGGCGUAAAGGGCGCGUAGGUGGUUUGAUAAGGGUGUGGUGAAAGUCCGGGGCUCAACCCCGGAUCUGCCGUGCCGACUGUCAAACUCGAGGACUGUAGAGGCAGACGGAAUUCCGGGUGUAGCGGUGGAAUGCGUAGAGAUCCGGAGGAAGACCGGUGGCGAAGGCGGUCUGCUGGGCAGUUUCUGACACUGAGGCGCGACAGCGUGGGGAGCAAA
rnacentral:rRNA from 1 species